GAUGAACGCUGGCGGCGUGCUUAACACAUGCAAGUCGAACGGGAUCCAUCAGGCUUUGCUUGGUGGUGAGAGUGGCGAACGGGUGAGUAAUGCGUGACCGACCUGCCCCAUACACCGGAAUAGCUCCUGGAAACGGGUGGUAAUGCCGGAUGCUCCAGUUGAUCGCAUGGUCUUCUGGGAAAGCUUUCGCGGUAUGGGAUGGGGUCGCGUCCUAUCAGCUUGACGGCGGGGUAACGGCCCACCGUGGCUUCGACGGGUAGCCGGCCUGAGAGGGCGACCGGCCACAUUGGGACUGAGAUACGGCCCAGACUCCUACGGGAGGCAGCAGUGGGGAAUAUUGCACAAUGGGCGCAAGCCUGAUGCAGCGACGCCGCGUGAGGGAUGGAGGCCUUCGGGUUGUAAACCUCUUUUAUCGGGGAGCAAGCGAGAGUGAGUUUACCCGUUGAAUAAGCACCGG
rnacentral:rRNA from 1 species